rnacentral:rRNA from 1 species
UGGGGAAUAUUGCACAAUGGAGGGAACUCUGAUGCAGCGACGCCGCGUGAACGAAGAAGGCUUUCGAGUCGUAAAGUUCUUUUAUAUGGGAAGAUAAUGACGGUACCAUAAGAAGAAGCCCCGGCUAACUACGUGCCAGCAGCCGCGGUAAUACGUAGGGGGCUAGCGUUGUCCGGAAUCACUGGGCGUAAAGGGUUCGCAGGCGGAAAUGCAAGUCAGGUGUAAAAGGCAGUAGCUUAACGACUGUAAGCAUUUGAAACUGCAUAUCUUGAGAAGAGUAGAGGUAAGUGGAAUUUUUAGUGUAGCGGUGAAAUGCGUAGAUAUUAAAAAGAAUACCGGUGGCGAAGGCGACUUACUGGGCUCAUUCUGACGCUGAGGAACGAAAGCGUGGGUAGCAAACAGG